UACGGAGGGUGCAAGCGUUAAUCGGAAUUACUGGGCGUAAAGCGCACGCAGGCGGUCUGCUAAGCCAGAUGUGAAAGCCCCGGGCUCAACCUGGGAACUGCAUUUGGAACUGGCAGGCUAGAGUCUUGGAGAGGGGGGUAGAAUUUCCGGUGUAGCGGUGAAAUGCGUAGAUAUCAGGAAGAACACCAAUGGCGAAGGCGGCCUUCUGGACUGACACUGACACUGAGGUGCGAAAGCGUGGGUAGCAAACAGG
rnacentral:misc_RNA from 1 species